AAUACAGCCUGUAAGUCGUAAACUACUA
rnacentral:sRNA from 1 species